AGCCCAUGGUAGGGGCAUUGUUGUAAAAGACUCUUGUAGUGAUCUCAUGCUUCAAAUAGAGAUUCCCCAUCCUUUUAAAUGAAAUUAGUGAUUAAAUAUGAGCU